AAUCAACGCUGGCGGCGUGCCUCAGACAUGCAAGUCGAACGCGAAAGUCCCCUUCGGGGGGCAAGUAGAGUGGCGCACGGGUGAGUAACACGUAGGUAAUCUACCUUUGGAUGGGGAAUAACAAUCGGAAACGAUUGCUAAUACCGCAUAAUGCAGCGGCACCUAAUGGUGACAGUUGUUAAAGCGGGGGAUCGAAAGACCUCGCGUCUGAAGAGGAGCCUGCGGCGGAUUAGCUAGUUGGUAAGGUAAUGGCUUACCAAGGCUACGAUCCGUAACCGGCCUGAGAGGGCGGUCGGUCACACUGACACUGACAUACGGGUCAGACUCCUACGGGAGGCAGCAGUCGGGAAUUUUGGGCAAUGGGCGAAAGCCUGACCCAGCAACGCCGCGUGAAGGAUGAAAUCCCUCGGGAUGUAAACUUCGCAAGUACGGGAAGAAUAAGUAGGGGACAAUACCCCCUAUGAUGACGGUACCGUUUGUAAGCUCCGGCUAACUCCGUGCCAGCAGCCGCGGUAAUACGGGGGGAGCAAGCGUUGUUCGGAUUUACUGGGCGUAAAGGGCGCGUAGGCGGCCAGCACAAGUCAGUUGUGAAAUCUCCGAGCUUAACUCGGAAAGGUCAACUGAUACUGUGCGGCUAGAGUGCGGAAGGGGCAACUGGAAUUCUUGGUGUAGCGGUGAAAUGCGUAGAUAUCAAGAGGAACACCUGCGGCGAAGGCGGGUUGCUGGGCCGACACUGACGCUGAGGCGCGAAAGCUAGGGGAGCGAACGGGAUUAGAUACCCCGGUAGUCCUAGCCUUAAACGAUGAAUGCUUGGUGUCUGGGGUUAUAAAGUCCCCGGGUGCCGUCGCUAACGCUUUAAGCAUUCCGCCUGGGGAGUACGG
rnacentral:rRNA from 1 species